rnacentral:rRNA from 1 species
AUUGAACGCUGGCGGCAGGCCUAACACAUGCAAGUCGAGCGAGCGGCGGACGGGUGAGUAAUGUCUGGGAAAAUGCCUGAUGGAGGGGGAUAACUACUGGAAACGGUAGCUAAUACCGCAUACCAUCAGAUGUGCCCAGAUGGGAUUAGCUGGUAGGUGGGGUAACGGCUCACCUAGGCGACGAUCCCUAGCUGGUCUGAGAGGGUGACCAGCCACCCGGGACCUGAGACACUGUCCAGACUCCUCCGGGAGGAAGCAGUGGGGAAUAUUGCACAAUGGGCGCAAGCUGGAUGAAGCCAUGCCGGGGGUGGGAAGAAGGCCUUCGGGUUUUAAACCACUUUCGGCGGGGAGGCGUUACCCGCAGAAGAAGCACCGGCUAACUCCGUGCCAGCAGCCGCGGUAAUAC